rnacentral:rRNA from 1 species
AGACCCGAAACCCGGUGAUCUAGCCAUGGGCAGGUUGAAGGUUGGGUAACACUAACUGGAGGACCGAACCGACUAAUGUUGAAAAAUUAGCGGAUGACCUGUGGCUGGGGGUGAAAGGCCAAUCAAACCGGGAGAUAGCUGGUUCUCCCCGAAAGCUAUUUAGGUAGCGCCUCGUGAAUUCAUCUCCGGGGGUAGAGCACUGUUUCGGCUAGGGGGCCAUCCCGGCUUACCAACCCGAUGCAAACUGCGAAUACCGGAGAAUGUUAUCACGGGAGACACACGGCGGGUGCUAACGUCCGUCGUGAAGAGGGAAACAACCCAGACCGCCAGCUAAGGUCCCAAAGUCAUGGUUAAGUGGGAAACGAUGUGGGAAGGCCCAGACAGCCAGGAUGUUGGCUUAGAAGCAGCCAUCAUUUAAAGAAAGCGUAAUAGCUCACUGGUCGAGUCGGCCUGCGCGGAAGAUGUAACGGGGCUAAACCAUGCACCGAAGCUGCGGCAGCGACACUGUGUGUUGUUGGGUAGGGGAGCGUUCUGUAAGCCUGCGAAGGUGGCCUGUGAGGGUUGCUGGAGGUAUCAGAAGUGCGAAUGCUGACAUAAGUAAC